UACGUAGGGAGCAAGCGUUGUCCGGAAUCAUUGGGCGUAAAGCGCGCGUAGGCGGCCCUGUAAGUCCGUUGUGAAAGUCAAAGGCUCAACCUUUGAAAGCCGAUGGAUACUGCAGGGCUAGAGUCCGGAAGAGGCGAGUGGAAUUCCUGGUGUAGCGGUGAAAUGCGCAGAUAUCAGGAAGAACACCUAUGGCGAAGGCAGCACUCUGGGACGGUACUGACGCUGAGACGCGAAAGCGUGGGGAGCGAACAGG
rnacentral:rRNA from 1 species